UACAGAGGUCUCAAGCGUUGUUCGGAUUCAUUGGGCGUAAAGGGUGCGUAGGUGGCGCCGUAAGUCAGGUGUGAAAUCUCGGAGCUCAACUCCGAAACUGCACUUGAUACUGCGGUGCUCGAGUACUGGAGAGGAGAUUGGAAUUUACGGUGUAGCAGUGAAAUGCGUAGAUAUCGUAAGGAAGACCAGUGGCGAAGGCGGAUCUCUGGGCCGAUACUGACGCUGAGGAGCGAAAGCGUGGGGAGCGAACAGG
rnacentral:rRNA from 1 species